GACGAACGCUGGCGGCGUGCCUAAUACAUGCAAGUCGAGCGAGCGGAACCAACAGAUUUACUUCGGUAAUGACGUUGGGAAAGCGAGCGGCGGAUGGGUGAGUAACACGUGGGGAACCUGCCCCAAGUCUGGGAUACCAUUUGGAAACAGGUGCUAAUACCGGAUAAUAAAGCAGAUCGCAUGAUCAGCUUUUGAAAGGCGGCGUAAGCUGUCGCUAAGGGAUGGCCCCGCGGUGCAUUAGCUAGUUGGUAAGGUAACGGCUUACCAAGGCGACGAUGCAUAGCCGAGUUGAGAGACUGAUCGGCCACAUUGGGACUGAGACACGGCCCAA
rnacentral:rRNA from 1 species